rnacentral:rRNA from 1 species
AGAGUUUGAUCCUGGCUCAGCCUGAACGCUGGCGGCGUGGCUAAGACAUGCAAGUCGCACGGACGUAGCAAUACGUUAGUGGCGAACGGGUGAGUAAUGAAUCGCUAAUGUGCCCCGGACUCUGAGAUAGCUACCCGAAAGGGUAGGUAAUAUCAGAUGAUAUGCAGCUGUCGCAUGACAGUUGCCUCAAAGGUCCGCCGGUCUGGGAGCAGGCGAUUUUGUAUCAGCUUGUUGGUGAGGUAACGGCUCGCCAAGGCGACGACGCAUAGCCGGACUGAGAGGUUGGCCGGCCACAUUGGGACUGAGACACUGCCCAGACUCCUACGGGGGGCUGCAGUAACGAAUCUUCCGCAAUGUACGAAAGUAUGACGGAGCGACGCCGCGUGCAGGACGAAGCCCUUCGGGGUGUAAACUGCUGUCAGGGGUUAGAAAGUUCUGAUCAACCCCAGAGGAAGGCACGGCUAACUCUGUGCCAGCAGCCGCGGUAAGACAGAGGUGCCGAGCGUUAGGCGGAAUCACUGGGCUUAAAGCGUGUGUAGGCGGACUUCUAAGUACCUUGUGAAAUCCCACGGCUUAACCGUGGAACUGCUUGGUAUACUGGUUGUCUUGGGCCAUCUAGGGGCUACCGGAACAAACGGUGGAGCGGUGAAAUGCGUAGAUAUCGUUUGGAACGCCAAUGGUGAAAACAGGUAGCUGGGGAUGUGCCGACGCUGAGACACGAAAGCCAGGGGAGCGAACGGGAUUAGAUACCCCGGUAGUCC